ACACAUGCAAGUCAAACGGGAAUUAGCGAAUAGUUUACUAUUAGCUAAUUUUAGUGGCGGACGGGUGAGUAACGCGUGGAUAACCUGCCCAUUAGCUUGGGAUAACGCCUGGAAACGGGUGCUAAUACCGGAUACGCUCAUUUUAUUGCAUAGUAGAAUGAGGAAAGGGCAACCGCUAAUGGAURGGUCCGCGUCCCAUUAGCUUGUUGGUAGGGUAACGGCCUACCAAGGCGACGAUGGGUAGCCGGCCUGAGAGGGUGAUCGGCCACACUGGAACUGAGACACGGUCCAGACUCCUACGGGAGGCAGCAGUGGGGAAUCUUCCGCAAUGGGCGCAAGCCUGACGGAGCAACGCCGCGUGAGUGAAGAAGGUUUUCGGAUUGUAAAACUCUGUCCAAGGGGAAGAAACAAAUGACGGUACCCUUGGAGGAAGCCCCGGCUAACUACGUGCCAGCAGCCGCGGUAAAACGUAGGGGGCGAGCGUUGUCCGGAAUUACUGGGCGUAAAGGGCGUGUAGGCGGCAAAUCAAGUCAGGAGUGAAACCCGCCGGCUUAACCGGCGGCCUGCUUCUGAAACUGAUUAGCUUGAGUGCAGGAGAGGGAAGUGGAAUUCCCAGUGUAGCGGUGAAAUGCGUAGAUAUUGGGAGGAACACCAGUGGCGAAAGCGGCUUCCUGGCCUGUAACUGACGCUGAGGCGCGAAAGCGUGGGUAGCAAACAGGAUUAGAUACCCUGGUAGUCCACGCCGUAAACGAUGGGUGCUAGGUGUUGGSGGUAUCGACCCCUCCAGUGCCGCAGUUAACGCAAUAAGCACCCCGCCUGG
rnacentral:rRNA from 1 species